rnacentral:misc_RNA from 1 species
AAGUCGUAACAAGGUUUCCGUAGGUGAACCUGCGGAAGGAUCAUUAUCGUAGGGCUUCGGCCCUGUCAGAUAGAACCCUUGCCUUUUUGAGUACCUUUCGUUUCCUCGGCAGCCUCGGCUGCCAAUGGGGACCCCAAAAAACACUUUGCAGUAUCUGUAACAGUCUGAACAAACAAACAAGAAUUAAAA